GACGAACGCUGGCGGCGUGCUUAACACAUGCAAGUCGAACGGAAAGGCCCUGCUUUUGUGGGGUGCUCGAGUGGCGAACGGGUGAGUAACACGUGAGUAACCUGCCCUUGACUUUGGGAUAACUUCAGGAAACUGGGGCUAAUACCGGAUAGGUGCUCCUGCUGCAUGGUGGGGGUUGGAAAGUUUCGGCGGUUGGGGAUGGACUCGCGGCUUAUCAGCUUGUUGGUGGGGUAGUGGCUUACCAAGGCUUUGACGGGUAGCCUGCCUGAGAGGGUGACCGGCCACAUUGGGACUGAGAUACGGCCCAGACUCCUCCGGGAGGCAGCAGUGGGGAAUAGUGCACAAUGGGCGGAAGCAUGAUGCAGCAACGCAGCGUGCGGGAUGACGGCAUUCGGGUUGUAAAGCGCUUUCGCCUGUGACGAAGCGUGAGUGACGGUAAUGGGUAAAGAAGCACCGGCUAACUACGUG
rnacentral:rRNA from 1 species